AUGCAGUCGUACGAGAGUUUUGAACUCAAGUGGCGGACGGGUGAGUAACACGUAAGAAUUUGCCUUUAGGAGGGGGACAACAACUGGAAACGGUUGCUAAUACCCCAUAUGCUUUCGAGUGAAACGGUUUUUCCGCCUAAAGAGAAGCUUGCGGCUGAUUAGCUUGUUGGUAAGGUAAUGGCUUACCAAGGCGACGAUCAGUAUCUGGUUUGAGAGGACGAUCAGACACACUGGAACUGAGACACGGUCCAGACUCCUACGGGAGGCAGCAGUGGGGAAUUUUCCGCAAUGGGCGAAAGCCUGACGGAGCAAUACCGCGUGAGGGAUGAAUGCCUAUGGGUUGUAAACCUCUUUUUUCAGGGAGGAAUCAAUGACGUUACCUGAAGAAUAAGCAUCGGCUAACUCCGUGCCAGCAGCCGCGGUAAUACG
rnacentral:rRNA from 1 species